rnacentral:rRNA from 1 species
UGGCGGCGUGCCUAAUACAUGCAAGUCGAGCGCGGGAAGCGGACAAUCACCCGUUCGGGGUGUGCGUCCGUGGAACGAGCGGCGGAUGGGUGAGUAUCACGUGGGCAACCUGCCUGUAAGAUUGGGAUAACUCGCGGAAACGUGAGCUAAUACCGAAUGAAGUCUUUCGCCGCCUGGUGAAAGGAUGAAAGAUGGCUCUUGAGCUAUCACUUACAGAUGGGCCCGCGGCGCAUUAGCUAGUUGGUGGGGUAAAGGCCUACCAAGGCGACGAUGCGUAGCCGACCUGAGAGGGUGAUCGGCCACACUGGGACUGAGACACGGCCCAGACUCCUACGGGAGGCAGCAGUAGGGAAUCUUCCGCAAUGGACGAAAGUCUGACGGAGCAACGCCGCGUGAGUGAUGAAGGUCUUCGGAUCGUAAAACCCUGUUGUCAGGGAAGAACAAGUUGUGUUCUAACAGGACAUGACCUUGACGGUACCUGACCAGAAAGCCCCGGCUAACUACGUGCCAGCCGCCGC